rnacentral:rRNA from 1 species
UAGGGAAUCUUCGGCAAUGGGGGCAACCCUGACCGAGCAACGCCGCGUGAGUGAAGAAGGUUUUCGGAUCGUAAAGCUCUGUUGUAAGUCAAGAACGAGUGUGAGAGUGGAAAGUUCACACUGUGACGGUAGCUUACCAGAAAGGGACGGCUAACUACGUGCCAGCAGCCGCGGUAAUACGUAGGUCCCGAGCGUUGUCCGGAUUUAUUGGGCGUAAAGCGAGCGCAGGCGGUUUGAUAAGUCUGAAGUUAAAGGCUGUGGCUCAACCAUAGUUCGCUUUGGAAACUGUCAAACUUGAGUGCAGGAGGGGAGAGUGGAAUUCCAUGUGUAGCGGUGAAAUGCGUAGAUAUAUGGAGGAACACCGGUGGCGAAAGCGGCUCUCUGGUCUGUAACUGACGCUGAGGUUCGAAAGCGUGGGGAGCGAACAGGAUUAGAUACCCUGGUAGUCCACGCCGUAAACGAUGAGUGCUAGGUGUUGGAUCCUUUCCGGGAUUCAGUGCCGCAGCUAACGCAUUAAGCACUCCGCCUGGGGAGUACGACCGCAAGGUUG